GAUGAACGCUGGCGGCGUGCCUAAUACAUGCAAGUCGAGCGAACAGACGAGGAGCUUGCUCCUCUGACGUUAGCGGCGGACGGGUGAGUAACACGUGGAUAACCUACCUAUAAGACUGGGAUAACUUCGGGAAACCGGAGCUAAUACCGGAUAAUAUAUUGAACCGCAUGGUUCAAUAGUGAAAGACGGUUUUGCUGUCACUUAUAGAUGGAUCCGCGCCGCAUUAGCUAGUUGGUAAGGUAACGGCUUACCAAGGCGACGAUGCGUAGCCGACCUGAGAGGGUGAUCGGCCACACUGGAACUGAGACACGGUCCAGACUCCUACGGGAGGCAGCAGUAGGGAAUCUUCCGCAAUGGGCGAAAGCCUGACGGAGCAACGCCGCGUGAGUGAUGAAGGUCUUCGGAUCGUAAAACUCUGUUAUUAGGGAAGAACAAAUGUGUAAGUGACUAUGCACGUCUUGACGGUACCUAAUCAGAAAGCCACGGCUAACUACGU
rnacentral:rRNA from 1 species